UACAUGGGGUGCAAACGUUGCUCGGAAUUAUUGGGCGUAAAGCGCGCGUAGGCGGUUACUUAAGUCGGAUGUGAAAGCCCUCGGCUUAACUGAGGAAGUGCACCCGAAACUGAGUAGCUAGAGUACGAAAGAGGGUCGCGGAAUUCCCGGUGUAGAGGUGAAAUUCGUAGAUAUCGGGAGGAACACCGGUGGCGAAGGCGGCGACCUGGGUCGAGACUGACGCUGAUGCGCGAAAGCCAGGGGAGCGAACGGG
rnacentral:rRNA from 1 species